rnacentral:rRNA from 1 species
AAUCAACGCUGGCGGCGUGCCUAACACAUGCAAGUCGAACGAGAAAGGGGAGCAAUCCCUGAGUACAGUGGCGACCGGGUGAGUAACACGUGACUACCUACCCUUGAGUGGGGAUAACCUCGGGAAACCGAGGCUAAUACCGCAUAAUAUCGCAAGAUCAAAGGAGCAAUCCGCUCUUGGAGGGGGUCGCGGCUGAUUAGCUAGUUGGUAGGGUAAUGGCCUACCAAGGCGAAGANCGGUAUCCGGCCUGAGAGGGCGCACGGACACACUGGAACUGAAACACGGUCCAGACUCCUACGGGAGGCAGCAGGU